rnacentral:tRNA from 1 species
GGGGUUGUGGCUCAGUGGUAGAGCGCUUGCCUAGCAUGUAUGAGGCACUGGAUUCGAGCCUCAGUACUACCA